rnacentral:lncRNA from 1 species
GGGGAUCAAACUCAGGACCUUACAAUUGCAAGGCAGAGAUAAACUACGGAGCGCACAGUGGGUGUUCAAAAACCAUGCAAGAGGUGCUUGCGAAGGCGGCACUGCUCCUCGGUGGCAGCACUCUGGCAGAAGGAGGGACGCAAGCCAGGCAUUUUCCGUGCCAGGCUGGGUACCACGGUCACUUACUGAAAGCCACGGCGGGAAAACCGCGGGCCGAGGGAGCGGCUCGCGGCGGCUCGCGGCAGCGCGCGCUCUGCUGGCGGGGGAGAAAUCUGCCGAUCCGCCCGCUCUGUGGUCCUAGGAAUUAGACUUCAGCGGACUUCACAGGCUGCUGAUUCCUCAGGCCCCCUCCAGAGGCUGCUGCGAGGGAUCGCUCAGGGCUUCAGAGUGGAUCUGCAGGGACUGGUGCUGUCCCCGAGACGAGCGAGCCUGCGUGGCCAGCCUGACUGAAGAAGACACGGAGCUGUGCACCAGCACGGCGUGGCAUGGUAAUCUCAGCACGCUGGGAGGCUGAGGCAGGAGGAUCGCAAAUCUGAGCCCCGCCUGGACAAUUUAGUGACUUCAGGAGACCUUGUCUCAAAAAAAAAAAAAAAAAAAAAGAAAAAAAAUUUUAAAGUCUGGGGAUGGCUCAGUACAAUACAAUCCAACAACAAUACAAAUCCAGUACAAUGCUGGACUUCAAUUCCCCAGUGCUAUAAAAAUAAAUAAACAAAUAUUAAAAAGUAAAAAGGAGGCAGGUGUGGUGGCACAGCCCUGUAAUCCCAGAACUGAGGAUGCUGAGGCAGGAGGAUUGCAAGUUCAAACCCAGCCUGGGUUAUAUAGCAAGACCCUGGUCUUACAAAAGGAAAAAAUAAAUAGG